CACAAUGGGCGCAAGCCUGAUGCAGCCAUGCCGCGUGUAUGAAGAAGGCCUUACGGGUUGUAAAGUACUUUCAGCAGUGAGGAAGGUGGAUAUGUUAAUAGCAUAUUCAUUUGACGUUAGCUGCAGAAGAAGCACCGGCUAACUCCGUGCCAGCAGCCGCGGUAAUACGGAGGGUGCGAGCGUUAAUCGGAAUUACUGGGCGUAAAGCGCAUGCAGGUGGUUUGUUAAGUCAGAUGUGAAAGCCCGGGGCUCAACCUCGGAAUUGCAUUUGAAACUGGCAAACUAGAGUACUGUAGAGGGGGUAGAAUUUCAGGUGUAGCGGUGAAAUGCGUAGAGAUCUGAAGGAAUACCGGUGGCGAAGGCGGCCCCCUGGACAGAUACUGACACUCAGAUGCGAAAGCGUGGGGAGCAAACAGGAUUAGAUACCCUGGUAG
rnacentral:rRNA from 1 species